rnacentral:snoRNA from 24 species
AAGUAUUAUUAAUCGUGCGGAUUAAUUAAUCCAGGACUCUAAAACCGUGUUGCUUGAAUUAAUUUCUAUUUAGUUCCCAAGCGUCAAGUCCAUCGGAGAGAUCAUCAUUGGUUCAUCUUAGCGCCCUUUUGUUUUAGUUGCUUUUAUAUCACAACUUUGGUGAGGGCUGGUAGAACUGACAUCU